GACGAACGCUGGCGGCGUGCUUAACACAUGCAAGUCGAGCGGUAAGGCCCUUUUGGGGGUACGACGAGCGGCGAACGGGUGAGUAACACGUGGGUGACCUGCCCUCAGCUCUGGGAUAAGCCUGGGAAACUGGGUCUAAUACUGGAUAUGACCUUUCCUCGCAUGGGGGUUGGGUGGAAAGUUUUUCGGCGUGGGGAGUGGGCCCGCGGCCUAUCAGCUUGUUGGUGGGGUGAUGGCCUACCAAGGCGACGACGGGUAGCCGGCCUGAGAGGGCGACCGGCCACACUGGGACUGAGACACGGCCCAGACUCCUACGGGAGGGCAGCAGUGGGGAAUAUUGCGCAAUGGGGCGGAAGCCUGACGCAGCGACGCCGC
rnacentral:rRNA from 1 species